ensembl:misc_RNA Metazoa_SRP Metazoan signal recognition particle RNA
GCCAGGUGUGGUGGCGUGUGCCUGUAAUCCCAGCUACUCGGGAGGCUGAGGCAGAAGAAUCGCUUGAACCCAGGAAGUGGAGGUUGCAGUGAGCCGAGAUCACGCCACUGCACUCCAGCCUGGGAAACACAGUGAGACUCUGUCUCAU